rnacentral:rRNA from 1 species
UACGUAGGUGGCAAGCGUUGUCCGGAAUCACUGGGCGUAAAGCGCGCGCAGGCGGCGAUCUACGUCUGGGGUGAAAGCCCGGAGCUCAACUCCGGGACUGCCUUGGAUACGGGAUCGCUUGAGGAUUGGAGAGGCAAGGGGAAUUCCACGUGUAGCGGUGAAAUGCGUAGAUAUGUGGAGGAACACCUGUGGCGAAGGCGAUCAUCUGGGGUUGUUCUGACACUGAGGAGCGAAAGCUAGGGGAGCAAACGGG